rnacentral:rRNA from 1 species
AAGUGCAACUACCGANCGGUGGCCCAACCCGCAAGGGAGGGAGCCGUCGAAGGUAGGGUCGAUGAUUGGGGUG